ACACAUAGGGGCAAUCUGGCUGCGACAUCUGUCACCCCACUGAUUGCCAGGGUUGAUUCAGGUGAUCUGGCUGGCUAGGCGGGUGUCCCCUUCCUCCCUCGCCGCUCCAUAUGCAUCCCUCCCGAAGCUGCGCGCUCGGUGGAAGAGGACGAUGUACAGAGAACUCCAGUCUUCAGUCCCAGGUAUACACACAUUACUUAUUGGAAGCACAAUAACAAAACUUGUUUGGCCUUUCUGU
rnacentral:snRNA from 1 species